rnacentral:rRNA from 1 species
CGGCAGCACGAGAGAGCUUGCUCUCUUGGUGGCGAGUGGCGGACGGGUGAGUAAUGUAUCGGAACGUGCCCAGUAGCGGGGGAUAACUACUCGAAAGAGUGGCUAAUACCGCAUACGCCCUACGGGGGAAAGGGGGGGAUCGCAAGACCUCUCACUAUUGGAGCGGCCGAUAUCGGAUUAGCUAGUUGGUGGGGUAAAGGCCUACCAAGGCGACGAUCCGUAGCUGGUUUGAGAGGACGACCAGCCACACUGGGACUGAGACACGGCCCAGACUCCUACGGGAGGCAGCAGUGGGGAAUUUUGGACAAUGGGGGGAACCCUGAUCCAGCCAUCCCGCGUGUGUGAUGAAGGCCUUCGGGUUGUAAAGCACUUUUGACAGGGAAGAAAUGACAGGAGCUAAUAACUUCUGUAGAUGACGGUACCUGUAGAAUAAGCACCGGCUAACUACGUGCCAGCAGCCGCGGUAAUACGUAGGGUGCAAGCGUUAAUCGGAAUUACUGGGCGUAAAGGGUACGCAGGCGGCUAGGAAAGAAAGAUGUGAAAUCCCAGGGCUCAACCUUGGAACUGCAUUUUUAACUACCUAGCUGAGUAUGUCAGAGGGGGGUAGAAUUCCACGUGUAGCAUGAAAUGCGUAGAGAUGUGGAGGAAUACCGAUGGCGAAAGCAGCCCCCUGGGAUAAUACUGACGCUCAGUACGAAAGCGUGGGGAGCAGACAGGAUUAGAUACCCUGGUAGUCCACGCCCUAAACGAUGUCAACUAG